rnacentral:rRNA from 1 species
AUUGAACGCUGGCGGCAGGCUUAACACAUGCAAGUCGAGCGGGGGAGAUUGCUUCGGUAAUUGACCUAGCGGCGGACGGGUGAGUAAUACUUAGGAAUCUGCCUAUUAAUGGGGGACAACAUCUCGAAAGGGAUGCUAAUACCGCAUACGCCCUACGGGGGAAAGCAGGGGAUCACUUGUGACCUUGCGUUAAUAGAUGAGCCUAAGUCGGAUUAGCUAGUUGGUGGGGUAAAGGCCUACCAAGGCGACGAUCUGUAGCGGGUCUGAGAGGAUGAUCCGCCACACUGGGACUGAGACACGGCCCAGACUCCUACGGGAGGCAGCAGUGGGGAAUAUUGGACAAUGGGGGGAACCCUGAUCCAGCCAUGCCGCGUGUGUGAAGAAGGCCUUAUGGUUGUAAAGCACUUUAAGCGAGGAGGAGGCUCCUGUAGUUAAUACCUACAGAGAGUGGACGUUACUCGCAGAAGAAGCACCGGCUAACUCCGUGCCAGCAGC